CGUCGUUACAAAUAUUAGGCACCUUGAGUAAUCACAGUACCUUACGGGUUCAAAUCAGCACCUAACAGGUUUACAUGAGCCCCUCGCCUGGUUGAAAUUGGCACCUCGGCAGGUUCGCAUGAUUGGUUAAUAAAUCCACCUUAGCAGGUUCACAUCAGCACCUCAGCACAUGAGCACCUUAUUAGCAGAAAUAACAGUUAAAUCUCGUCGUGUGCGGCGGGCUUUAAAGAAGUGCACGCGCGUACGACGAAUGACAGUUAGGCGCGUGUAAUGUGUGCGGGCAGGCUUUUUUUCCCCGCCGGCGGCUGAAUGAAAUCAGACAGUUGACGACGCACCCUCUGUUUAUAAAUUAUAUGCACAUAUGUCUUGUCUAACCUCAUUACUGUUUGUCUGGUUGUUGACGUCUUUCCAUCAAAAGUCGAAACAUUAUUGGUCGGUUGUUCUUCUUUUCAUCAGUCAUUUGGCCAUAACAAAACUGCUUCACCUGUAUACCAAGGCCUGUGAUGUGCCUUCUUUAUCCAAGUGGCCUUUACCUACCAAGUACCUGUAUUACCACAUGAUGUGGAAGAUCUUUUGAAACAGCAGGACAAGUCGGUGUUGUCAAGGCAGUAAGAUUAUACAAAGUUUAUUUGAAGACAUGAUACAAUUUACUCUAUAUCCAACAACAGCUGAGUAUACUGAGGUAGCCAGAGCUAGUUACCAAAUUUAAGAUCUUAGAAGAUAAAUCUGGAAAUUCAACAAGACAUGAUAAUACGUCAGGAGAAAACCAAGCCAGCACAAGCAUGUAACAGAUUUAAUGGACCUUUCAAAGAAGUGUAACCCAGACCAGAACAUUAUGGUCGAUAAACUAGAGCGUACAAAGGAAUAUCGUUUAAAAUAUAUUGCUGAGCACUCUGUGAAAGACGUGUUGGAGAAAUAUCCUUUUCUUAAACUAGAAAAUGAGGUAAUAAUUAAAUAUCCAUAUCAAUUAUGUAGCAUGUCAAUAAUUAUUGAGACAAAUAAUUCCAUAAAAAGGAAUGUAAGUGGCCUAUAGUUAUUGAGAAUAUAAUGCUAGGGGAUUACACUUUUCCCAUCUACUAUUAAAGCUUUGUUUCACUUAAAAAGAAGCAGAACUGGCAUUAUUCAUGAAGGAAAUGCUUUUUCAGAACUUCUUCCUCAUGGAAAUACCAGUACCAUUUUAAAAUGACAAUAUGGUGAAUUAUUUCAUGGAGAGAAUAAAAAAAUUAUAUAUAAAAAGCCAAUUUUUUUUUUUUAAGGUAGAGGUUUAUUUUAUACUAGAAAAACUGUAACAUAUCCAGUGAAUAGAUGAUGCAUUAUAUUUGUCCUCUAAUCAUUAGUUGUAAUAACUGACCAUAGAAGUGUUUGUCAUAUUAGUUAAGUAAUACGUUUUUAUCCGAAUAAACAUUUGAAGUGUUUAA